CCUACGGGAGGCAGCAGUGAGGAAUAUUCCUCAAUGGACGCAAGUCUGAACCAGCCAUGCCGCGUGCAGGAUGACGGCUCUAUGAGUUGUAAACUGCUUUUGUACGAGGGUACACGCAGAUAAGUGAAUCUGUCUGAAAGUAUCGUACGAUUACGGAACGGCUAACUCCGUGCAAGCCGCCGCGGUAAUACGGAGGAUUCAAGCGUUAUCCGGAUUUAUUGGGUUUACAGGGUGCGUAGGGGGUCGGAUAAGUUAGAGGUGAAAUCCCGAGGCUCAACUUCGGAAUUGCCUCUGAUACUGUUCGGCUAGAGAGUAGUUGCGGUAGGCGGAAUGUAUGGUGUAGCGGUGAAAUGCUUAGAGAUCAUACAGAACACCGAUUGCGAAGGCAGCUUACCAAGCUACUUCUGACGUUGAGGCACGAAAGCGUGGGGAGCAAACAGGAUUAGAUACCCCUGUAGUC
rnacentral:rRNA from 1 species